AUUGAACGCUAGCGGGAUGCCUUACACAUGCAAGUCGAACGGCAGCGCGGACUUCGGUCUGGCGGCGAGUGGCGAACGGGUGAGUAAUGUAUCGGAACGUGCCCAGUAGCGGGGGAUAACUACUCGAAAGAGUAGCUAAUACCGCAUACGCCCUACGGGGGAAAGGGGGGGAUCGCAAGACCUCUCACUAUUGGAGCGGCCGAUAUCGGAUUAGCUAGUUGGUGAGGUAAAGGCUCACCAAGGCGACGAUCCGUAGCCGGUUUGAGAGGACGACCAGCCACACUGGGACUGAGACACGGCCCAGACUCCUACGGGAGGCAGCAGUGGGGAAUUUUGGACAAUGGGGGCAACCUGAUCCAGCCAUUCCGCGUGUGCGAUGAAGGCCUUCGGGCUGUAAAGCACUUUUGGCAGGAAAGAAAUCGCACGGAUUAAUACUCUGUGUGGAUGACGGUACCUGCAGAAUAAGCACCGGCUAACUACGUGCCAGCCGCCGCGGUAA
rnacentral:rRNA from 1 species